rnacentral:rRNA from 1 species
GAUGAACGCUGGCGGCGUGCCUAAUACAUGCAAGUCGAGCGAACGGACGAGAAGCUUGCUCCUCUGACGUUAGCGGCGGACGGGUGAGUAACACGUGGAUAACCUACCUAUAAGACUGGGAUAACUUCGGGAAACCGGAGCUAAUACCGGAUAAUAUAUUGAACCGCAUGGUUCAAUAGUGAAAGACGGUUUUGCUGUCACUUAUAGAUGGAUCCGCGCUGCAUUAGCUAGUUGGUAAGGUAACGGCUUACCAAGGCAACGAUGCAUAGCCGACCUGAGAGGGUGAUCGGCCACACUGGAACUGAGACACGGUCCAGACUCCUACGGGAGGCAGCAGUAGGGAAUCUUCCGCAAUGGGCGAAAGCCUGACGGAGCAACGCCGCGUGAGUGAUGAAGGUCUUCGGAUCGUAAAACUCUGUUAUUAGGGAAGAACAUAUGUGUAAGUAACUGUGCACGUCUUGACGGUACCUAAUCAGAAAGCCACGGCCAACUACGUG